rnacentral:rRNA from 1 species
GUGGGGAAUAUUCCGCAAUGGACGAAAGUCUGACGGAGCAACGCCGCGUGAGUGAUGAAGGUUUUCGGACUGUAAAGCUCUGUUGUUUAGGACGAAAGUGCCUGUUGCAAAUAGUUACAGGUAUUGACGGUACUGAACGAGGAAGCCACGGCUAACUACGUGCCAGCAGCCGCGGUAAUACGUAGGUGGCAAGCGUUGUCCGGAAUUAUUGGGCGUAAAGAGCAUGUAGGCGGGAAUCUAAGUCUGUUGUGAAAAUGCGGGGCUCAACCCCGUAUUGCGAUAGAAACUGGGGUUCUUGAGUGCAGGAGAAGAAAGGGGAAUUCCCAGUGUAGCGGUGAAAUGCGUAGAUAUUGGGAGGAACACCAGUGGCGAAGGCGCCUUUCUGGACGGUGUCUGACGCUGAGAUGCGAAAGCCAGGGUAGCGAACGGGAUUAGAUACCCCGGUAGUCC